rnacentral:lncRNA from 1 species
UCUACUUGAUCUAAUUAAAUCUAAUUGAUCUAACUUUGUUAGAUAUAUAAUUUAUGAGUGACCUGGUAUGCUUCUGAAAGCACGGAGCCUUCUGUACUUUUAAGUUGUUUUCGAUGUUUGGACUUUCGAAUCGACGAUCGGCUUCGCUAGAGUUGAUCUAGAGUAUUUGAAGUACCCAGAAAAUAAAUUUUGUGAUUUUUCGAUAUCAUUUGCCUAGUGAUCGAAGGGACUCAAAAUCAAUAAUUUUAAUGACCAUGGUGAGCCGUUUGCAAGUUUAACGGUGUAGAAAUAUUCAAAUCACGUGAAAUUUUGCUAGAAAAUUCUUUAUACUAUAUAAGACAAGAUCAAUAACUUUGAUCUAAAAUUUUAAUGUCAUAUCAUCAUAUUUUGUAAGAUUUUUAUUUUUAGCCGUUGAUUUUGAGCCCCUUCAAUCACUAGGCAAAUGAUAUCGAAAAAUCACAAAAUUUAUUUUCUAAAUACUUCAAAUAGUAUAGAUCAAGUCUAACGGAAUCGAUCGUCGAUUCGAAAGUCCGAACAUCGAAAACGAGUUGGAAGCACGGAACGCUCCGUGCUUCUAAAAAUAUACCAGACGCACUCAUAAUUUAU